rnacentral:rRNA from 1 species
CCUACGGGCGGCAGCAGUGGGGAAUAUUGGACAAUGGGCGAAAGCCUGAUCCAGCCAUGCCGCGUGUGUGAAGAAGGCCUUCGGGUUGUAAAGCACUUUCAGUGGGGAAGAAAGCCUUGGGGCUAAUACCCUCGAGGAAGGACAUCACCCACAGAAGAAGCACCGGCUAACUCCGUGCCAGCAGCCGCGGUAAUACGGAGGGUGUGAGCGUUAAUCGGAAUUACUGGGCGUAAAGCGCGCGUCGGCGGUCUGAUAAGCCGGUUGUGAAAGCCCCGGGCUCAACCUGGGAACGGCAUCCGGAACUGUCAGGCUAGAGUGCAGGAGAGGAAGGUAGAAUUCCCGGUGUAGCAGUGAAAUGCGUAGAGAUCGGGAGGAAUACCAGUGGCGAAGGCGGCCUUCUGGACUGACACUGACGCUGAGGUGCGAAAGCGUGGGUAGCAAACAGGAUUAGAUACCCGUGUAGUC